rnacentral:rRNA from 1 species
GAUGAACGCUGGCGGCGUGCCUAAUACAUGCAAGUCGAGCGAACAGACGAGGAGCUUGCUCCUCUGACGUUAGCGGCGGACGGGUGAGUAACACGUGGAUAACCUACCUAUAAGACUGGGAUAACUUCGGGAAACCGGAGCUAAUACCGGAUAAUAUAUUGAACCGCAUGGUUCAAUAGUGAAAGACGGUUUUGCUGUCACUUAUAGAUGGAUCCGCGCCGCAUUAGCUAGUUGGUAAGGUAACGGCUUACCAAGGCAACGAUGCGUAGCCGACCUGAGAGGGUGAUAGGCAGCAUGGGAAGUGAGACACGGUCAAGGCGACUACGGGAGGCAGCAGGAGGGAAUCUUCCGCAAUGGGCGAAAGUUUUACGGAGCAACGCGGCGUGAGAGAUGAAGGUCUUCGGAUCGGAAAACUCUGUUAUUAGUGAAGAACAAAUUUGUAAGUAACUAUGCACUUCUUGACGGUACCUAAUCAGAAAGCCACGGCUAACUACGUG